rnacentral:rRNA from 1 species
UACAUGGGGUGCAAACGUUGCUCGGAAUUAUUGGGCGUAAAGCGCACGUAGGUGGUCUGUUAUGUCAGAUGUGAAAGCCCUCGGCUUAACUGAGGAAGUGCACCUGAAACUGGCAGGCUUGAGUACGAAAGAGGGUCGCGGAAUUCCCGGUGUAGAGGUGAAAUUCGUAGAUAUCGGGAGGAACACCAGUGGCGAAGGCGGGUCUCUGGGCCGAUAUCGACGCUGAGGAGCGAAAGCGUGGGGAGCGAACAGG